CUUUACUGUAGCCUGGUAUUGGGUUCGGGCUUUGACUGCGCAGGAUAGGUGGGAGACUAUGAAGCAAUCCUUGUGGGGGUUGCUGAGUCAACGGUGAGAUACCACUCUGUCAGAGCUAGAAUUCUAACUAAAUGCCGUUAUCCGGCUUUGGAACCGUAUCAGGUGGGCAGUUUGACUGGGGCGGUCGCCUCCUAAAAGGUAACGGAGGCGCGCAAAGGUUCUCUCAGGCUGGUUGGAAAUCAGCCGUAGAGUGUAAAGGCAGAAGAGAGCUUGACUGCAAGAGCUACAACUCGAGCAGGGUGGAAACACGGCCUUAGUGAUCCGACGGCGCUGAGUGGAAGGGCCGUCGCUCAACGGAUAAAAGUUA
rnacentral:rRNA from 1 species